UACGAAGGGGGCUAGCGUUGUUCGGAUUUACUGGGCGUAAAGCGCACGUAGGCGGAUUGUUAAGUGAGAGGUGAAAUCCCCGGAGCUCAACUCCGGAACUGCCUUUCAUACUGGCAAUCUAGAGUCCGGAAGAGGUGAGUGGAACUCCUAGUGUAGAGGUGGAAUUCGUAGAUAUUAGGAAGAACACCAGUGGCGAAGGCGGCUCACUGGUCCGGUACUGACGCUGAGGUGCGAAAGCGUGGGGAGCAAACAGG
rnacentral:rRNA from 1 species